rnacentral:rRNA from 1 species
ACGGAUUCUUCGGAUGAAGUUCCUGUGACUGAGUGGCGGACGGGUGAGUAACGCGUGGGUAACCUGCCUCAUACAGGGGGAUAACAGUUAGAAAUGGCUGCUAAUACCGCAUAAGCGCACAGCAUCGCAUGAUGCAGUGUGAAAAACUCCGGUGGUAUGAGAUGGACCCGCGUUGGAUUAGCUAGUUGGCAGGGUAACGGCCUACCAAGGCGACGAUCCAUAGCCGGCCUGAGAGGGUGGACGGCCACAUUGGGACUGAGACACGGCCCAGACUCCUACGGGAGGCAGCAGUGGGGAAUAUUGCACAAUGGGGGAAACCCUGAUGCAGCGACGCCGCGUGAGCGAAGAAGUAUUUCGGUAUGUAAAGCUCUAUCAGCAGGGAAGAAAAUGACGGUACCUGACUAAGAAGCCCCGGCUAACUACGUGCCAGCAGCCGCGGUAAUACGUAGGGGGCAAGCGUUAUCCGGAUUUACUGGGUGUAAAGGGAGCGUAGACGGAAUGGCAAGUCUGAUGUGAAAGGCCGGGGCUCAACCCCGGGACCGCAUUGGAAACUGUCAAUCUAGAGUACCGGAGGGGUAAGUGGAAUUCCUAGUGUAGCGGUGAAAUGCGUAGAUAUUAGGAGGACACCAGUGGCGAAGGCGGCUUACUGGACGGUAACUGACGUUGAGG